rnacentral:rRNA from 1 species
UUACCAUGCAGUCGAACGGUAACAGGUCUUCGGAUGCUGACGAGUGGCGAACGGGUGAGUAAUGUAUCGGAACGUGCCCAGUAGUGGGGGAUAACUACUCGAAAGAGUGGCUAAUACCGCAUGAGAACUGAGGUUGAAAGCGGGGGACCUUCGGGCCUCGCGCUACUGGAGCGGCCGAUAUCAGAUUAGGUAGUUGGUGGGGUAAAGGCCUACCAAGCCGACGAUCUGUAGCUGGUCUGAGAGGACGACCAGCCACACUGGGACUGAGACACGGCCCAGACUCCUACGGGAGGCAGCAGUGGGGAAUUUUGGACAAUGGACGCAAGUCUGAUCCAGCAAUGCCGCGUGCAGGACGAAGGCCUUCGGGUUGUAAACUGCUUUUGUACAGAACGAAAGGGCUCUGGUUAAUACCUGGGGCAGAUGACGGUACUGUAAGAAUAAGCACCGGCUAACUACGUGCCAGCAGCCCGGGGUAAUA